GGGUGCGUCGCAUAGCGGCAAUUGCAGCGGACUGUAGAUCCGCCGGCUUACGCCUACGGGGGUUCGAGUCCCUCCGCACCCA
rfam:Candidatus Lloydbacteria bacterium RIFCSPHIGHO2_02_FTLL_51_22 rifcsphigho2_02_scaffold_26508, whole genome shotgun sequence.